AGAGAUAGAUAGUAUUUUACUUAAUUAAUAAUAUAAUUAUUAAUUUUAAUAUUAAAAAUUAUAAUAAAAAAUAUAUAAAUUAUUCUUAUGAAUAUUAUAAAAUAAUUUUUUUAUUAAUGUUUUCUUAACUUUUAAUAUUUGAAGAGUUAAAUUAUUUUAAUAAUUUUAUUUAAAAACUCAAUCAAACUUAAUAGCUUUUGUAACUAUUUUAUAAAUAAAAUUUUUAACUAAAAUGUUAAAGUUGGAGGACUUAUUUCAAAUUAUCAAAAUAUGAGAUGCCUUUAUCUUGUUAAAAUUGAUUAGAAUAAGAAAAACUAUUGCAUGUACCUUAUGUAUAUUAAUACUCCAUACACCGCAACUUAUAUUAGAUGACUAUUGUUCUAAUAUCAAAACUUAAUUAAAUAAAUAUGAUCUACACAGUCUAAUAAUUAAAAUUAUUAAAAGGUGUUAAAUGUGUGGUGUAUGUGCACAUAUACAUCCAG
rnacentral:lncRNA from 1 species